rnacentral:tRNA from 1 species
AGGAGCAUAGCUCAAGGAGUAGAGUACUUGCCUAGCAAACAAGAAGCUCUGGGCUCAAUCCUCAGUACUGCAA